rnacentral:rRNA from 1 species
GGGCCCGCACAAGCGGUGGAGCAUGUGGUUUAAUUCGAUGCAACGCGAAGAACCUUACCAGGGCUUGACAUACUGCGAAUCUCCUUGAAAGGGGAGAGUGCCUUCGGGAAUGCAGAUACAGGUGGUGCAUGGCUGUCGUCAGCUCGUGUUGUGAAAUGUUGGGUUAAGUCCCGUAACGAGCGCAACCCUUGUCCUUAUUUGCCAGCGCGUAAUGGCGGGAACUCUAAGGAGACUGCCGGUGACAAACCGGAGGAAGGUGGGGACGACGUCAAGUCAUCAUGGCCCUUACGAGUAGGGCUACACACGUGCUACAAUGGUCGGUACAAAGGGUUGCCAACUCGCGAGAGUGAGCCAAUCCCGAAAAGCCGAUCUCAGUCCGGAUCGGAGUCUGCAACUCGACUCCGUGAAGUCGGAAUCGCUAGUAAUCG